CCCUUAGAUGUUCUGGGCCGCACGCGUGCUACACUGAGUGGAUCAGCGGGUCAGGUUACGCGAGAGCGUUUCCUAAUCUUCAAACCCGCUCGUGAUGGGGAUUGACGGUUGCAAUUUUCCGUCAUGAACGAGGAAUACCUUGUAAGCGCGAGUCAUCAUCCCGCGCUGAAUACGUCCCUGCCCUUUGUACACACCGCCCGUCGCUCCUACCGAUUGAGUGGUCCGGUGAGGCUUUGGGAUCUAAGCGAAAAGAGCGUUUCGCUCCUUUUGCUGGGAGAACUCAGUCGAACCUUAUCAUUUAGAGGAAGGAGAAGUCGUAACA
rnacentral:rRNA from 1 species